rnacentral:rRNA from 1 species
CAGUCGCCACGGUAAUACGUAGGUGGCAAGCGUUGUCCGGAAUUAUUGGGCGUAAAGCGCGCGCAGGUGGUUUAAUAAGUCUGAUGUGAAAGCCCACGGCUCAACCGUGGAGGGUCAUUGGAAACUGUUAGACUUGAGUGCAGGAGAGAAAAGUGGAAUUCCUAGUGUAGCGGUGAAAUGCGUAGAGAUUAGGAGGAACACCAGUGGCGAAGGCGGCUUUUUGGCCUGUAACUGACACUGAGGCGCGAAAGCGUGGGGAGCAAACAGGAUUAGAGACCCCGGUAGUCCCUGUCUCUUAUAC